CAGGAACUGAUUCCUCCCAAAGGUUGAACUAGUGUGUUUCCAUAGAUUACCUCUGUAUGAAUGUACUUCUUAAAUGAAGGCAAGUGUUUGUCCUGUUUUGUUCCUCAGGUACAGUACGUGAUAUCAAGGGCAGGCGGUCAACACUGGGGGUAGACAAGAAGCAGACGUACUUCCAAGAGGGAGCUGCAGUGAGGUCAGAGGAGGCGCUGGAAGGUUUCCCUAAUAGUUCCUGGUGAAUCAAAGCAGAACCAUAAAGGUUGCUGGACUGCAUGAUGGCCUUACCCCUGAGCAGUCAUCCUGUUACAGGAGGAACCAGUUAGAAGCUGUUUUCAAAGUAGCUGAGCAGAUUUCAUCUCAAACAAAGCUGAUGGCAGAAGAUGUCAGAGAAGAACUUCAGGC